AGACCACAUUCAUUCUGUGCCAGAAACCUAUGCUGUGUCAACUAUUUAAUUUUAGAUUUAAAUAAGUUUGAAGAAGAAAUCUUUAAUUGAUUUGUAAAAUCUUGACAUUUGUUUUGUGUAAAAAAAACCCAUGUAAUGUCAAAAAUUUGAUCACAAUCCAAAUUCAGAGCUGUAUCACGCUUGAAUGUUUUGUCCAUACUUGCCCCAACUGUUCAGGGUUCGACCUCUGCGGUCGUAUAAAGCUGCGCCCUGUGGAGCACCUGGUUUCUUAUUUAUCUAAAAAGUUUUUAGAUAAUGUAUGUUGGACAUUUGCCAG
rnacentral:lncRNA from 1 species